rfam:Bacillus clausii KSM-K16 DNA, complete genome.
GGAAAUAGAAUAGUCAUACCGUAGACAGCAGGUGCUUCAUAGCUUAAAUAUCCUGCCGAGGUGAGCGAAUAGAUCUCUUUUUACUAGAGCUUAAAGCCCUCGUGUGUCUUCGUGCCACGAGGGCUUUUCUAUGGAAACU